UACGAAGGGGGCUAGCGUUGCUCGGAAUUACUGGGCGUAAAGGGCGCGUAGGCGGCCUUGUCAGUCGGGCGUGAAAUCCCCGGGCUCAACCUGGGAAUUGCGUUCGAUACGGCUGGGCUUGAGGCCGAGAGAGGGUGGUGGAAUUCCCAGUGUAGAGGUGAAAUUCGUAGAUAUUGGGAAGAACACCGGUGGCGAAGGCGGCCACCUGGCUCGGUACUGACGCUGAGGCGCGACAGCGUGGGGAGCAAACAGGAUUAGAAACCCGAGUAGUCC
rnacentral:rRNA from 1 species